GACGAGCGGGCGCUGAUGCGGCGCAGACCCCGCCGGACCUCUUGGUCGGCCCGGGGUAGGCUGGGGAGCCGCGGGAACAGGACUGGAUAGGGAAAGCGGCACCGCAGCGUCCACGGGCAAGCUGAAAGUCCGCUUGAUGUCUUUGCAUCACAGUGGCGCCCUCCCCGCAGGAACGCCCGGCCGCCUGCACCGAACGUUUGCCUGCAGGGAACGGCCAACCCGCCCUGAAAUACUCUUUUUGUGGGCUGCAGCUUUCGGGUAUUUUAAGCCAUGGUUCUGUGCCCUUCCUUGUUUUCAAAAACACCACAGCCAAAGGCUGCGGGUUGUGUGCUUUCAUUUUGUGUUAAGUUCUGUGGUGGAGACCUGGAGUCUGUUUUUCCAAAUAGGCACCUUGAAAUAGAUACGCUUCUUAAGCGGGGAAAGUACGAAAUUGAGCAUACCACAAAAAAGUUCUCAUUUUGUGUCCUCCCAUCCCAUUCUCCUCACUAACCAAAGGCUAGGAAUUAUCUGUGAAUGUAGGACCACUGGAUUUGCAGUCUUCAUCUGACACUGUGGAGAGUUUCUAGGAAUGAAACAGAUAUAUGGCCUUGGGUCCCCUUUUUUUUUCUUUUUUUUUUUUUUAAUAGAGACGAGCAUCUCACUAUGUUGCCUAGGGUAGUCUUGAACUCCUGGCCUCAAGCAAUCCCCACCCGACUCCGCCUCUCGAAGUGAUGGGAUUACAGGCAUAAACCACCACGCCUGGCCAGAAGGUGCUUUAACACCAAAUCUGAAAAUUGUUCAGAAGAGAAACAUUGAGCAUGAACACCAUCUGUGCGAGUCAUUUACUUAUUGCCCCUCACCUCUAAAUCUACCUUCUGUACUCUUCUUCCCUGUAAUGAUGGGGCUAGUUGUCCUCAAACUGUUUCUCAGACUUCUUUUUAAGCUUGCUUCCUGUUCAGUUCUGCCAAUAGGGGUCACUAGAGAGAGACUGGGAGGCAGAAGGAGAGAAUAUGCUUCCUGUUUUUUCUGUUCUUGUUAAUGUUGCUUACAGGACCAGCAAUGCUUCUUCACCUAGAGACACUUCUCCCAGCAGUGGCAGUGCCACUUCAGCUUCUUUCAGCACUACUGGAAUCAGCCUCAGUGAUUCCCCCUGUACCCGCUCAGAGAUUAUCCACAGCAGCCAGAUGGUUCUACCUUCCACAAAGAUUGUGGUUGCAAUUCUGGGCUUCUAAGUUCUGGUUACUUCAUAUUUUUCCUUUUGUUCCUCCAGCCCUAGAGGUGGUAGCUGCUUUCUGAAGUUAUUAUUUCUAGAUGACUUUUGGUUUUUCAGCCUUUGUAUUUUGCUUUUCAGCC
ensembl:lncRNA ZBED5-AS1 ZBED5 antisense RNA 1